AUUGAACGCUGGCGGCAGGCUUAACACAUGCAAGUCGAGCGGGGUGAUGGUGCUUGCACUAUCACUUAGCGGCGGACGGGUGAGUAAUGCUUAGGAAUCUGCCUAUUAGUGGGGGACAACAUCUCGAAAGGGAUGCUAAUACCGCAUACGUCCUACGGGAGAAAGCAGGGGAUCACUUGUGACCUUGCGCUAAUAGAUGAGCAUAAGUCGGAUUAGCUAGUUGGUGGGGUAAAGGCCUACCAAGGCGACGACCUGUAGCGGGUCUGAGAGGAUGAUCCGCCACACUGGGACUGAGACACGGCCCAGACUCCUACGGGAGGCAGCAGUGGGGAAUAUUGGACAAUGGGGGGAACCCUGAUCCAGCCAUGCCGCGUGUGUGAAGAAGGCCUUAUGGUUGUAAAGCACUUUAAGCGAGGAGGAGGCUCUUUUGGUUAAUACCCAAGAUGAGUGGACGUUACUCGCAGAAUAAGCACCGGCUAACUCUGUGCCAGCAGCCGCCGUAA
rnacentral:rRNA from 1 species